rnacentral:rRNA from 1 species
AGAGUUUGAUCCUGGCUCAGGAUGAACGCUGGCGGCGUGCCUAAUACAUGCAAGUCGAGCGAACAGACGAGGAGCUUGCUCCUCUGACGUUAGCGGCGGACGGGUGAGUAACACGUGGAUAACCUACCUAUAAGACUGGGAUAACUUCGGGAAACCGGAGCUAAUACCGGAUAAUAUAUUGAACCGCAUGGUUCAAUAGUGAAAGACGGUUUUGCUGUCACUUAUAGAUGGAUCCGCGCCGCAUUAGCUAGUUGGUAAGGUAACGGCUUACCAAGGCAACGAUGCGUAGCCGACCUGAGAGGGUGAUCGGCCACACUGGAACUGAGACACGGUCCAGACUCCUACGGGAGGCAGCAGUAGGGAAUCUUCCGCAAUGGGCGAAAGCCUGACGGAGCAACGCCGCGUGAGUGAUGAAGGUCUUCGGAUCGUAAAACUCUGUUAUUAGGGAAGAACAAAUGUGUAAGUAACUAUGCACGUCUUGACGGUACCUAAUCAGAAAGCCACGGCUAACUACGUGCCAGCAGCCGCGGUAAUACGUAGGUGGCAAGCGUUAUCCGGAAUUAUUGGGCGUAAAGCGCGCGUAGGCGGUUUUUUAAGUCUGAUGUGAAAGCCCACGGCUCAACCGUGGAGGGUCAUUGGAAACUGGAAAACUUGAGUGC